CAUUACAGAAUAAACCUGGCUAGUUGUUGCUGGUUCUCUNGGGAGCAUGUGCACGCUGGUCACUUUUAUCUUACCACCUGUGAACCACUUGUAGAUCUGGAGGCAUUUUCACGGACUUUGUCUGUGGUUUUUGGGAGCUGCCGUGCCCUUUUACUAGGGUCGACUCUUCCUGGCCUUCAGGUCUAUGUCUUUACAUCUACUCCAUAGAAUGUAAANGAAAGAAACAAUGGCAGCUUUAUUGCAGCCUAUAAAACUUGUACAACUUUCAGCAACGGAUCUCUUGGCUCUCGCAUCGAUGAAGAACGCAGCGAAAUGCGAUAAGUAAUGUGAAUUGCAGAAUUCAGUGAAUCAUCGAAUCUUUGAACGCACCUUGCGCUCCUUGGUAUUCCGAGGAGCAUGCCUGUUUGAGUGUCAUUAAAUUCUCAACCAUCUUUGUCUUUUUGAUAACKGAUGCGUUGGAUGUGGGGACUUGCCAUUUCUUUAAAAGANUUGGCUUCCCUUAAAUGCAUUAGCUAGAGCACUUCUACUAGCUGCUAGUGUGAUAAUUAUCUACACUGCGGCCAACGAAGAAAACUCUGCUUCUAACCGUCUGCUYGCAGACAAUAUCUGACAUCUUGACCUCAAAUCAGGUAGGACUACCCGCUGAACUUAAGCAUAU
rnacentral:rRNA from 1 species